GGUGGGGCAUCCGGGUCUCUUGGUGGCUGCUUCUACCCCCGGAGCUCAGCUGAUCUUCCCUUCCAGACUACGAGGUGUGAAUUUCAAACUUCCGUAAUGGAGUUAGCCCACAGUUUAUUGCUAAAUGAAGAAGCUUUGGCUCAAAUCACCGAAGCAAAAAGACCAGUUUUCAUCUUUGAAUGGUUGCGAUUUCUUGAUAAAGUCUUGGUUGCUGCCAACAAGUGCAGUUUUCCCAGACCGCAACUGUGCCUGGACUCUUCUAGUCUGGACAUACAAUAUUUCACUCUUCCCAGAGAAUAAACUUUCAGUCUGCUUCCAUAAUGAAGAAGAGGAUUCUUUCUGCUUAUUAGACUCUCAACCAUUCCCUCUAUCUCAAGACCGAUGUAAAGGAAAAACAGAAAAAACUUGUUGAACAAUUAACUGGAUUAAUAAGUAGUUCACCUGGACCACCUACACGAAAAUUAUUAGCUAAAAAUCUCGCAGCCCUUUAUAGCAUUGGGGAUACUUUCACAGUUUUUCAGACACUUGAUAAAUGCAAUGACAUUAUCAGAAAUAAAGAUGACACUGCGGCCUACUUACCAACAAAAUUGGCUGCGGUGGCUUGUGUCGGAGCAUUUUAUGAAAAAAUGGGGAGAAUGUUGGGCAGCGCAUUUCCAGAAACGGUAAAUAAUCUAUUGAAAUCUCUGAAAAGUGCAGAGUCUCAAGGGCGAAGUGAAAUCUUAAUGAGUCUACAGAAAGUUCUAAGUGGACUGGGUGGUGCAGCAGCUUCCUCCCAUCGUGAUAUUUACAAGAAUGCCAGGUCUCUCUUGACUGAUAGGUCAAUGGCUGUUCGAUGUGCAGUGGCCAAGUGUCUACUAGAACUACAGAAUGAAGCUGUAUUUAUGUGGACUGCUGAACUAGAAAAUAUAGCCACUCUCU
rnacentral:lncRNA from 1 species